rnacentral:rRNA from 1 species
UGCUGCAUGGCUGUCGUCAGCUCGUGUCGUGAGAUGUUGGGUUAAGUCCCGCAACGAGCGCAACCCUUGCUUAAUUGCCAUCAUUCAGUUGGGCACUUUAAAGAGACUGCCGGUGUCAAACCGGAGGAAGGUGGGGAUGACGUCAAGUCCUCAUGGCCUUUAUGACCAGGGCUACACACGUACUACAAUGGCCGGUACAAAGGGCAGCCACUUAGCGAUAAGGAGCCAAUCCCGUAAAGCCGGUCUCAGUCCGGAUUGGAGUCUGCAACUCGACUCCAUGAAGUUGGAAUCGCUAGUAAUCGCAGAUCAGCACGCUGCGGUGAAUACGUUCCCGGGCCUU